GAAUUGACGGGGCCGCACAAGCGGUGGAGCAUGUGGUUAAUUCGACGCAACGCGAAGAACCUUACCAGGGCUUGACAUCCCCUGACCGCGUAUGAAAGUACGUUUUCACCCUCGGGUGACAGGGAGGCAGGUGGUGCAUGGUUGUCGUCAGCUCGUGUCGUGAGAUGUUGGGUUAAGUCCCGCAACGAGCGCAACCCCUACGUUUAGUUGCUAACGCGUGAGGGCGAGCACUCUAGACGAACUGCCGUUGACAAAACGGAGGAAGGUGGGGAUGACGUCAAAUCAUCAUGCCCCUUAUGUUCUGGGCUACACACGUGCUACAAUGGCCGGUACAGACGGACGCAAAGCCGCGAGGUGGAGCAAAUCCUAAAAAGCCGGUCUCAGUUCGGAUUGCAGGCUGCAAUUCGCCUGCAUGAAGUCGGAAUCGCUAGUAAUCGCAGGUCAGCAUACUGCGGUGAAUACGUUCCCGGGCCUU
rnacentral:rRNA from 1 species